rnacentral:rRNA from 1 species
GACGAACCGUGCGAACGUUAUUCGGAAUCACUGGGCUUAAAGGGCGCGUAGGCGGGCCGACGAGCCAGGGGUGAAAUCCUCCAGCUUAACUGGAGAACAGCCUUUGGGACCGGCGGCCUCGAGGGGUGCAGGGGCAUGCGGAACUCAGGGUGGAGCGGUGAAAUGCGUAGAGAUCCUGAGGAACACCGGUGGCGAAGGCGGGUCUCUGGGCCGAUACUGACGCUGAGGAGCGAAAGCGUGGGGAGCGAACAGG